GACGAACGCUGGCGGCGUGCUUAACACAUGCAAGUCGAACGGACCCUUUGGGGUUAGUGGCGAACGGGUGAGUAACACGUGGGUGAUCUGCCCUGCACUUUGGGAUAAGCCUGGGAAACUGGGUCUAAUACCGGAUAGGACUACGCACUGCAUGGUGUGUGGUGGAAAGCUUUUGCGGUGUGGGAUGGGCCCGCGGCCUAUCAGCUUGUUGGUGGGGUGAUGGCCUACCAAGGCGACGACGGGUAGCCGGCCUGAGGGGGUGACCGGCCACACUGGGACUGAGAUACGGCCCAGACUCCUACGGGAGGCAGCAGUGGGGAAUAUUGCACAAUGGGCGCAAGCCUGAUGCAGCGACGCCGCGUGAGGGAUGACGGCCUUCGGGUUGUAAACCUCUUUCGCCAGGGACGAAGCGCAAGUGACGGUACCUGGAGAAGAAGGACCGGCCAACUACGUGCCAGCAGCCGCGGUAAUACGUAGGGUCCGAGCGUUGUCCGGAAUUACUGGGCGUAAAGAGCUCGUAGGUGGUUUGUCGCGUUGUUCGUGAAAACUCACAGCUUAACUGUGGGCGUGCGGGCGAUACGGGCAGACUGGAGUACUGCAGGGGAGACUGGAAUUCCUGGUGUAGCGGUGGAAUGCGCAGAUAUCAGGAGGAACACCGGUGGCGAAGGCGGGUCUCUGGGCAGUAACUGACGCUGAGGAGCGAAAGCGUGGGGAGCGAACAGGAUUAGAUACCCUGGUAGUCCACGCCGUAAACGGUGGGUACUAGGUGUGGGUCUCCUUCCUUGGGAUCCGUGCCGUAGCUAACGCAUUAAGUACCCCGCCUGGGGAGUACGGCCGCAAGGCUAAAACUCAAAGGAAUUGACGGGGGCCCGCACAAGCGGCGGAGCAUGUGGAUUAAUUCGAUGCAACGCGAAGAACCUUACCUGGGUUUGACAUGCACAGGACGCCGGCAGAGAUGUCGGUUCCCUUGUGGCCUGUGUGCAGGUGGUGCAUGGCUGUCGUCAGCUCGUGUCGUGAGAUGUUGGGUUAAGUCCCGCAACGAGCGCAACCCUUGUCUCAUGUUGCCAGCACGUUAUGGUGGGGACUCGUGAGAGACUGCCGGGGUCAACUCGGAGGAAGGUGGGGAUGACGUCAAGUCAUCAUGCCCCUUAUGUCCAGGGCUUCACACAUGCUACAAUGGCCGGUACAAAGGGCUGCGAUGCCGUGAGGUGGAGCGAAUCCUUUCAAAGCCGGUCUCAGUUCGGAUCGGGGUCUGCAACUCGACCCCGUGAAGUCGGAGUCGCUAGUAAUCGCAGAUCAGCAACGCUGCGGUGAAUACGUUCCCGGGCCU
rnacentral:rRNA from 1 species